rnacentral:rRNA from 1 species
AACGAACGCUGGCGGCAUGCCUAACACAUGCCAGUCGAACGAGACCUUCGGGUCUAGUGGCGCACGGGUGCGUAACGCGUGGGAACCUGCCCUUAGGUUCGGAAUAACUCCCCGAAAGGGGUGCUAAUACCGGAUAAUGUCUUCGGACCAAAGAUUUAUCGCCUUUGGAGGGGCCCGCGUUGGAUUAGCUAGUUGGUAGGGUAAAAGCCUACCAAGGCGACGAUCCAUAGCUGGUCUGAGAGGAUGAUCAGCCACACUGGGACUAAGACACGGCCCAGACUCCUACGGGAGGCAGCAGUGGGGAAUAUUGGACAAUGGGCGAAAGCCUGAUGCAGCAAUGCCGCGUGAGUGAUGAAGGCCUUAGGGUUGUAAAGCUCUUUUACCCGGGAUGAUAAUGACAGUACCGGGAGAAUAAGCUCCGGCUAACUCCGUG